GCAGGAGUGACGGAACUGGAAUACGUACCUGCCUUAGAAGCAGGGUUUUGAGGGUUCGACCCCCUUCUCCUGUA
rnacentral:tRNA from 1 species